UGCUGGGAUAGUUCAGUCGGUAAAGCCUGAGACUCUAAAUUUCAGGGUCUUGGGUUCAAACUCCAUAUUGGGCAA